GACGAACGCUGGCGGCGUGCCUAAUACAUGCAAGUAGAACGCAGUUGCGAACGGGUGAGUAACGCGCAGGUAACCGCCUCAUAGCGGGGGAUAACCAUUGGAAAAGAUAGCUAAUUCCCCCUACAGUGAGAUGGACCUGCGUUGUAUUAGCUAGUUGGUGUGGUAAAGGCUCACCAAGGCGACGAUACAUAGCCGACCUGAGAGGGUGAUCGGCCACGCUUGGAAUAAGAAACGGCCCAGACGCCUACGGGAGGCAGCAGUAGGGAAUCUUCGGACAGGGACGGAAGUCGGACCGAGCAACGCCACGUGAGUGAAGAAGGUUUUCGGAUCAUAAAGCUCUGUUGUUAGAGAAGCGGUAAAUAACCAGGAAGGGACGGCUAGCUGCGUGCCAGCAGCCGCGGUAAUAC
rnacentral:rRNA from 1 species